rnacentral:rRNA from 1 species
UACGUAGGGUGCGAGCGUUGUCCGGAUUUACUGGGCGUAAAGCGCACGUAGGCGGUUUGUUAAGUGAGAGGUGAAAUCCCAGAGCUCAACUCUGGAACUGCCUUUCAUACUGGCAAGCUAGAGUCCGGAAGAGGUAAGUGGAACUCCUAGUGUAGAGGUGGAAUUCGUAGAUAUUAGGAAGAACACCAGUGGCGAAGGCGGCUUACUGGUCCGGAACUGACGCUGAGGUGCGAAAGCGUGGGGAGCAAACAGG